AAAGAUAUGGAAGUGAAGAAAGUAAAUGUUCAGCACAUUAUUUUGGACAAAAUAAGAUCUUGCUGUAUAUCAAAUAGAAUUUUCCUUAGAAAAAAUGUGGUUGGGAAUAAUAAUCAAAAACAGACUCUGAGAUGUUUGAAAAUCAUAGUUUAAGCAAGAUCAAUAAAAAUAAGUCUUCAAUUAGGCAUAUUAUAGAUUUAAGAAUACUAGGGGGCUGGGAUUGUGGCUCAGUGGUAGAACACUUGCCUAGCAUGUGUGAGGCACUUGGUUUGAUCCUCAGCACCACAUAUAAAUGAGAUGAAUAAAAUAAAGGUCCAUCAAUGUCUAAAAAAUAUUUAUAAAAAGACAUUUUAAAAAAGAAUACUAGGAACAAGAAAAUUUACAACAAUUGAAAGAAUAAUAUGUUUAUAAAAACAAAUCAUAAAUGUAUUAUUUAUUAUUCAAUACCAGUAGUAGAAACCAGAAUAAAUUCUAUUGUAUCCUUAAACUGUGCCAAAGUAAUCAAAGUAGAAUUUGAUUCCAAGCUAACCUAUCAUCAAGGGUGUCUGAAAUACACACAUGCUUACAUGAAUACAUAGGGCAUACACUGAAAGGCUUGAUUUCAUAAGUAAUGAGUAACUGCUAGGGUAUGUUAAAACAAGGUAAAGUCCUAUUUCAAAAUUGAUAUGUGUGUGUUCAAAGAAAACUCAAAAAGAUAGAUCUAUAAUACUAUAAUAACAUUUACACAGUAAAAGUUUAGAGGAUUAAAACCUUUUAAGGUUGUUCAGUUACUGGGAAAAAAGAGGUGCUGGAUAAAUUUAUUCUUAACAUUUUAUUUCCAUAAUUCAGUUGUGUGAAACCACAAUAGGAAAUAAAACAUAUCAAUAGAAGGGAAGAAAUGAAGUAACAUUAAGGAAGGGUAGAAACAUUGAUCAAUAGAGGAGCAUGCAGGGAAGGACUAAUUGAAAAAGCUAAUGUAUAAUAAAGUCUUACCUCGGAUUGUACACAGCCUCUUCAGUUACUGCCAUUUGCAUCAUGCAGCCAGGACUUUGAACUCUCCUUCUGCCAAAUGUUAACUGGGUGAAUUCUCUGAAUCUCAGUUUCUUCUAUAAAAUGAGAAUAAUACUACUUAUCUUAAAGGGUUGUUUUCAGAACCCUCAAUGAAAGUAGGGCUUUACCAUAAUCCCUUACUUUGCAUCCUUGGCUUAUAGUUUUAACACCACUUCUUUUUUUUUUCCUUUUUCUUUUUUCUUUUUUUUGUAAUUCUUAGUGAAACAGCAUUUAACAUUACCACUCAAAUUUUGUGUCAAAAAUACAUUUGUAAACUACUAGCAUAUUAGAAUUUUGUUAUCUAUGACUUCCUUUAUUUUGCCAGAUCCUUUCUGCCAGGAUUGGCAAUGCCUAGCUCAUCUUGCAGAUUGGCAAUGCAAAAUAGGCUGCAUGGGAUUCAGAAUGAAAUAGAAGAAUGACCUGGCUGACAUCAAUGUCCUGCAAAAGGUGCCAGAUGAGCUGACCCUAGCUAGAGCUGAACUGGAGAUGCUGACUGAGAACCUGACGGAAGAGUUGGCCUAUCUGAAGUAGAAUCAAUCAUGAGGAGGCCAAAAUUUGAUUUUUUUUU